rnacentral:rRNA from 1 species
AUGCAUGCGCGGCUGGAUUUCACCGUCGUGCAUGAAUCGUCUGUCUUCAUCGUCCGUAUAGCAUUGCUCUUCCUCGCGAGCCCAUCUCUCUCCUCUCGAUCCCCACUCUCCAUCCUCCCUAUAGUCGCUGCCAUAUGCCCGAUCCCAACCCGCUGCUCGCGCCUCCUCGUCGGCCCUCCUGCGCGCCGCCCCGCUCGUUCGCCAUGGCCACCCAGAUCCUCACCUUCUGCUGCCUCUUCGCGAGCUCCCCAUGGCCGUGUCUCCCAUCGCCUGCUGCUGCUCCCAGCUCCUCCUCCCAGCCGAGCUCUCCACUGUCGCCCGCGCCCCGCCUCCUCUCUCUGUGCUGCCCUGCAAGCCUCGUCCCUGUUGACCGCUCCUUCCCUCGCCCGUCUCCGGCUAGGUCCGAGGCCUAGGGACCGGGUCCUCCUCGUCUCGGCCAUCCCCGUCGUCUGCCUCCACGCGCCAAGUCCGCCGUCGUCGUCCUGCUUCACGAGGACGAGGACGAGCCCUUGCCUCCUCAUCCGUUCCACCUCCAGGCCACCACCUCGCAUGUCGGGCGGUGUUCAUCCGCCAUGGACGCCAAGGCCGACCCGCUGCUGCCAUGCACAACCUCUGUCGCUGCCCUGUUGGCCUCGGCUUCGAGACCACCAUGCGUGGUCAGAACCACACCAAGUUGCUGCCUGUGCAUCUCCAGUGCCUCACCAGCGUCGUGCUUUUUGUAAGUUCCACGAGCCGGAACCGCAAGUGCAAGUCCAACGACCACCACAGUUUCACCACCGACGACCGUUUUGGAUUCGUCAAGUCCGACUACAAAGCGAAGACCAUGUACCACUACUGUUCCCGUGGAUUUUGUCAAGUACCCCUAUGCAUGGAUACGCCAAGGUUGACUCGCUCGACGAUGCGACAAGUACCCCUACAAGUCAACGUCUAUGA